CCUUGAUGGCUGCGAGUAAUUUAGCUCAGACGAGGAAAUUUCACCCUAGAUUAAGUAUGAUGAGCCAAUAUCAGUCAGAGGAGGCCAAACAGUGAGAGCUUGAUGAGAUAGAGGGAAAUUUAUAUUCAGCUGGCUGCAUGUGAGAUGAGCUCCAAGCAGCGACAAACCCUGCUGGCCCAUCUUCCCGCGCAUGCGCGGUGCGGCCCUAGCGCACGGCUUUGCCUUUUCUCCUUUCUUGUUUUCAGUGGAGAUUGUCUACCUCACUAGACUGAGGUGAAGAGGGAGGACGGAACUCAGGUUUUCCCCGCUUGGCGUCUCUGAUUUUUGCCCGCUAGCACGCAAUGUCACAGCUUAGAACCUGCGCCAGCUCUCGGCUGGUGGAAGGGCUUUGCCAAGCCUGCCGGCUCUCACAUGCAGCCCUCCCCUCCUGCGAGAGCAGACUCCGCUUUAAUUGUUUUGGAGGCCCUGGAGGCGCCUUUCCAGCACCGGGAAUAAGCUGGACAGGGAGGUAAAGUAGGCGAGGUCCCUCCUUUUUGAUUCUUGGGAAGGAAAAGCCCCGCCCGCAAUGCACAAGGUCAUCUUUUUAUUUGUUCCCUUGAUGGGACCCGUCAGCGCCAGGAGGCGUGUUAAUAGAAGGUCCUUGUUAGAAGCAGCAGCUUAGCUCACGUUCGAAUUGUGCUUUAGAUCUGUAGGGAUCUGCCCUCGGUCCCUCCUCUCCUUCACUGAACUAGGUAUAUCGGAAAGCUGGGUGGGUCAGUUUUUCAAGUAGGCUCUUACCUUAGAAACGGGGCACAGUGUUCUUUUGCUGCCCCUCUGAUAACAGACUUGGAAGGGUAUAUUUAAUAUAUAUAUAUAUCAGCCUCUGAGACAUUACCUAAACCCUAUGCAUACCUGAUAAUUAGCCAAAAAUUCUACAGCAUUUUUCAAAAGCAAGAUUUUGGUACCUGAAUUACAUAUAUGGAUUUCAUUCUUAGAGUUCUGGAAGCAGUUCCAUUACAGAGAAAUAGGUCAUAGCGGUGGCAGUUGUGAAGGCCUGGAGAGUGGUAAAGCUUGGGUGUGGCUGUAGGCAAAGGGAGCCCUUGGACAGAGCUGUGCAGAGGAGCCCAUCACAUGAGGAAGGGCCAGUCGAGGCCUCUGUGAAAGCUCUGGCUCUGUCGUGGGAGGCCCAUAAGUAUUUCUUGAUCGAAUUCAUAAAGACCUGCUGUGAUACCUAAACGCAUCUCAAAUAUGAGCUCGUGGUACAUUGUGUAGUCAGACAAUGAUCACAGUUGUAAACAUAAAGAUAUUUGGGUACUUAUUUGUUCUUGACCUACAGUGAGUACUCAGCGAGAAUUUGAUGAAUGAAGUUGAACAGAGAUUUGCUCUAAGUCUCCGCUUCCUCACAGACUGUAAAUUCCAUAGGAGCAAAGCCUGUGUGUGUCUUCGGUUGCUGUAUCCCAGUGCACAGCGCAGGGACUGGCAUGCAGUGGGCGCUCAACAUGUGUUUGUCAGAUGAAUCAAACUUUUCUGAGCACUUCUUAUAUGUCAGGUGCUGUGUGAGGGACUGAAAUGUAGGGUUUAUACAAGCUUGAAUUUAUUAUUUAAGAAAAAAGAUACUCAUGUAUAAGUUAAAAAAAAGAAAAAAUACGCCUUACACAGAUAUCUGUUUUCUAUAAGAUAAUCUGAUGUUGCUUCUGUGACCGCCAGAAUGUGAAAUGAAUUAAAGAAGGGAGUAGCAUCGUACAAGGAAGGCUCCUGAAGAAUUCCUCUAGGAAGGACACUGCACUCUUGGAUCUGUGAGAACUCCACUACAGUGAUUUUAUGUUAGGUUCUUGCUAGAUAAGUGCCCCAGGAUUUAUUUUUGUCCAACAUACAAGACUGUUCAAGAUCUUCUGCCCCUUUAGCUGGUAGACUUUUUCGAAGUGAAUUGAGAUUCACAACUUUGUGAUAUAGGCAGAGAAGGUAUUUUAUCAGUUGAAGGAGGGCAGUGUAAGUGUUAAAGUCUUCAGUUUAUCCUCACAGUGCAAUUUUAUUAUCGUUGUUGGGGUUUCGGGUUGUUUUUUUUUUUUUUUUNGGGUUUUUUUUUUUUUUUUUUUUUCUUUUUUUGGGCUGCACAUGGCAUGUGGAAGUUCCCAGUCUAGGGGUCAAAUCGAAGCUGUAGCUGCCUGCCUACACCACAGCCCCAGCAAUGCCAGAUCUGAGCCAUGUCUGUGAUGUGCACUGCAGCUCAUGCCAAUGCCGGAUCCUUAACCCACUGAGCAAGGCCAGGGAUUGAACCUGCAUCUUCAUGGAUACUAGUCGGAUUCUUAAACCACUGAGCCCCAAUGGGAGCUCCUCAUCAUUGUGUUAAAAGAGUCUUGUGGACCGAACUGCAAAAUCAAAUAUAAAUAACUCUUCUGUUAUUGAUUAUAUUAUAGAUGUUUUUGAAUGCUCUUAUCAAGAAAAAAUUGCUAAUUAUCCAAUACUUUCUGGAACCACCGUGGAUGGAGUUUUCUGAGUCAGGAUAUUUUAAUAUAUUAACUGCGCUUCUGGCAGGUUAAGUAAAGGGGUAAUUAAAACAGUUAUUCCCACACUUCCUAAUUCAGUGAUCUGAAAUCAAAGAAAAUAUUUUCUCUGCAGAAUCUUUGGUAUAAGCAAAGCAAAUUUUACUGAUCAGAUUACUUAUUUUUUUUGCCUUUGGUGGAUUUUAGGUAACUCAGAUUGUGAAAAUUCUGACUGAUAAUAUUUAUCUUAAAAUACUUACAUUAUCUUAACAUUUUGGAAGCUGUAUGUGUAUAGAUUUGUAUGUUUAACAUAUUGAAGUGGAAGUUCAGCAAAAUCAAAUGCUACUGUUUUUGUGACUAGCAGGUUGUCUGCUUCCUCUGUUCUCAUUCUAGGAAACUAUAGUCAAUGUUUUACUGUGUUUUUAUGUACUUUGCCCUGAAGCGACAUCUGUAGAGCUCCAGGGAUUUAAUUUCUUGAAUAUUUAUAGCAUGACCUUACUUGGCAGUUGAAACGUGUGAUGUUUCUUUUCUUCUCCCUCUCUUUUUUUAAAUGGCCUUGCGCACAGUGUAUGGAAGUUCCCAGGCCAGGGGUGGAAUCUCAUCCUGAGCUGCCACCCACACCACAGUUGGAGCAACACCCGAUCCUUUUUUUUUUUUUUUUCUUCUUAGGGCCACAUCUGUGGCACAUGGAGGUUCCCAGGCUUCGGGUCUAAUCGGAGCUGUAGCUGUAGCCACUGGCCUAUGCCACACCCACAGCAACAUGAGAUCUGAGCUGUGUCUGUGACCUACACCACAGCUCAUGGCGACGCUGGAUCCUUAACCCACUGAGCGAGGCCAGGGAUCGAACCCGCAGCCUCAUGGUUCCUAGUCUCAUUCCUUUCCGCUUCGCCUCGAUGGGAACUCCAACGCCUGAUCUUUUUAACCCACUGCACCAGGUCUGGGCUCAAACCUCCCUGCCAGAUCCUUAACCUGCUGUGCCACAGCAGGAACUUCCUCAUUUGCUUUUCUUAUGUUGAGGUUUUCUUGCUAAAAGGUGAAUCAUAUUAGAGCCAAAUGUGGAAGGCUUCUGACAGAUGUACAUGCACUGUGAGACUCAGAUUUGGUCACUUUUGGUCUAUGGGCCAGUGUUGUAGCUAAAACAGUCUUAAGCUGGUCAGAGUUACUUUAAUGAAUUAAAGCCAAGUAAUGAAUGUGCAUGCAUGCGCGCGUGCUCGAGUGUGUGUGUGUGUACCGGGUGGAGGGAAGAGGAAUGGGAAAGUUACUGGCUCUUCCUUCACACUUGGAACUCUUCCGCCAGCUUCCGAAUUGUCUCCAGUCUGCUGCCCAUUUGCACCUGUGAGAAAUAGAUUUGGGGGUGUGUGGAUAAAACAAAGAUGAGAAGAAAAGAAAAAGGUGAAUGAGUGAAAGAAGAAAAAGUAGAAUUAAGUGUAUAUUUACCUACAUAAUAAGUGUAAAUGUACGAUACAUUUUAAAAACCUAAUAGCAAACUAGCCUGGGGCAAAGGCUCCUGUCGGGAGCAGGAUACUCCGAUCUAGAGGCCGAGGAGCCAGGGAGAAACACUUUACAUCCAUUGUUCUCUUUAGUGUUCACCACGAUGAUUCAUUCUUCCCAUGUUCCAGUGAGAAAGUCGAGGCUCAAAGACAUCAAGUAAACUGUCCAAGCUCACACAUGGAUAAAAGACCAUUUCGCACUUGGAGGCCAGGUCUUCUUGAUUCAAAGCCCUGCUUUUAGGCGCUGCCUUCAGGAAAUGCUUGCUCAGCUGAAUCGAAUGUAUAGAAAUGCAGAUUUUGCUGGAGGUUAUUUGGUAUAAGUAGCCACCGACAUAGAGAAUGGUUGGAAUAGAAGUACUUGGGGAAAUACAUAUUUUAGGCCUCAUCAUUGGAAGGAGAAUUAGGUGUUUUUUGUUUUGUUUUGUUUUUGUUU
rnacentral:lncRNA from 1 species